CAGAGAGUAACCAUGGAGACGGGAAUGUGAAACUUAAACAAUAAGGGAAGCCCACAAGAUGGAGGUUUAGAUAGAAUCUCCCUCUGUCGCCCACGCUGGAGUGCACUGGAGCCAUCUUGGCUCACUGCAAUCUCUGCCUCCCAGGUUCAAGUGAUUCUCGUGUGUACAAUACAUACAAUUAAAAGAGAUGGCAUCCAAUAAAUGAUCAGAUGUCCAAAGUAACAGAAGAAAGUGCCCCAUAUCCAGAAAAAAAAACAACCAACAGAAAAGACACUGGAAUAACAGAGAUGGUAGAACUAGUAGACAGGAACUUUAAAAACAGUCAUUAUGAAUAUACUUCAUGUAUUUAAGACCAUAGGAAGAAUUAAGUACAUUGAAAAAAGAAAGUAGAGACGUUAACAAUAAAACAGAACUUUGAGAGAUAAAAUACAGUAUCCAAGAUGGAAAAUACACUGGAUGAAAUUAGUAGCUAGUUGCACAUUGCAGAAGAAAAUAUUCAGCACACUUGAAGACAGAAAUAGUAACUAUUAAAAAAUGAAACUUAGACAAAUGACUUGAAAUAAAUGAACAUAACAUCAGUGAGCUUUGGGACAGCAGCUAACAAUCUAAGCUGUGAAACUGUAGUCUGAGAAUGAAUGAAGAGAUGAAGAUAAGGGAAGACAAUUGAAACAAUUAAAGAAAUAAUAGUAGAGACUUUUCCAAAUUUGAUUGAAAAUAUAAACCAACAUAUCCAAGAAGUUCCAUAAAAUAUGAGUACAAUUAAAUUAAGGAAAAUCAUACUGAGGCACAUUAAAAUCAAAUUGCUAAAACCAGUGAUUUAAAAAAAUAAUAAAAGCAGCCAGUGAUGGAAAGAAUCAUUACAUAGAAUGGAACAAGAUGCAAGUUACAGCAGUAUUUAAGUUGGAAAUGAUGAAAGCCAGAAGAAAAUGGAGUAGUAAAAAGUGUUGGACUGGGGAAUGGGGUAGAAACUAUCAACCUAAACACAAAUAGGUUAAAAGUAAAGAAGGAUAGAAAAGGCUCUACUCUGCAAACACUACUGAAAUGAGCGGUAGACUGGCUGUAUUGAUAUAAGAGAAAAUGCAUUUUAGAACCAGAGAUAAAAUUUCACAAUAAAAAGGCAUGAGUUCAUCGAGAGGACAUAGCAACAUUAGAUGUGAAAGAAUAAAUGUUUUUUCUAAGAUAUAAAACAGGACAAAAAUGUUCACACUCAUAAGUUUUGUGCAAUAUUUUUCUGGAGAUUUAACUCAACAAAAUAAGGUAAUUUUAAAAAGCAUACAUUUGUGAAAACAAGGCAUAAAAGUGAAUUUAUUUGCAGAUGACAUGGGUAUGCUUCCAGAAAUCUGAAAGUAUCAUCUAAUAAAUGAUUUAGUACUAUUGCAGAAUACAAGGUUAAUAUACAAAAAUCUGUUAUGCUACUACAUAUAACAACAAACAGUUGGAAAUUGAAAUUAAAAUAAAAAAAUGCCAUUUUCAAUAAUAUCCAAAUAUUUGGAGUAAAAUGUAUGGCAUGCUAACUAAAGAGUAAUUCCUAACUAGAUAUCAAUCCUAUAAAAUCCAAACGUUCUACAAAAGGUAACUACUUUAAGUCACUUGGAGUAAACAAAUGGUGUCAGAUUCCAGUGGGAUGAGGGAUGUGGGGGUGGCAUAAAAUAGUUCCCCAGCUGCACAGAUUUAGGCCUGAGGAUAAGUGCUAGCCACAUGCCCUGCCCAGAAAUGGAGGAGGUAU